rnacentral:lncRNA from 1 species
CCUACAGGAGCCUCAAGAACAAAGGCCAUCAGAGAGGCCGUUUGCUGGCAUGGAGCCCCCCAGGACUCAUCAACCAUGGUUGAGGUUGACUGAAAACAGAGCAAGAGAGGCCCCCGCCUGUCUCAGCCCCCUCUGAAGAUGUUGGAAAGGAGGAGAAGGAAGAGGAAAGCAGAGGGGAUCGCCCCGCAGAGGCCAGCCUGCAGCCUGGGCUCCAUGCACCUCUGGCUGCUAACGGGAUCCACCUCGGGUCAAGAAGGUGCUGGCUCACACUUUCCUCAAGAUUUUAGAGAUGCAUGUAUCCCAGUGCAUGUCCUGGAAAGCCUUUAAAAUUCAGAGAAAACAAGCAAAGCUCUGGCUAAUUAAAUGUUUUCUGCUUACCGUUGUUAACAUAUUAAUGAAACAGGUUAAAUGUAUUACUCAGUGAUGAGGAAGCUCUUAGCUUCUAUGCACCCCUUUUUGAGAGGAUUUCUCCAAGUGGCAUCAGUGUUUACAGUGCACUGGCUUCCUGUUCAUAGGACUUUUAUGUGGGGGU